rnacentral:rRNA from 1 species
CCUACGGGAGGCAGCAGUGGGGAAUAUUGCACAAUGGGGGAAACCCUGAUGCAGCGACGCCGCGUGAGUGAAGAAGUAUUUCGGUACGUAAAGCUCUAUCAGCAGGGAAGAAAAUGACGGUACCUGACUAAGAAGCCCAGGCUAACUACGUGCCAGCAGCCGCGGUAAUACGUAGGGGGCCAGCGUUAUCCGGAUUUACUGGGUGUAAAGGGAGCGUAGACGGCAGCGCAAGUCUGGAGUGAAAUCCCAUGGCUUAACCAUGGAACUGCCUUGGAAACUGGGCAGCUAGAGUGCAGGAGAGGUAAGCGGAAUUCCUAGUGUAGCGGUGAAAUGCGUAGAUAUUAGGAGGAACACCAGUGACGAAGGCGGCUUACUGGACUGUAACUGACGUUGAGGCUCGAAAGCGUGGGGAGCAAACAGGAUUAGAUACCCCAGUAGUC